GAAGAUAAGGGUUUAAAAAAAAAAAGAUGAUUUGAGGUGCAGCUAGGUGGCUUAGUGGAUAGAGAGCUAGGUCUGGAGAAGGGAGGUCCUGGAUUCAAAUGUGGUCUCACUGUUCCUAUCCCUGGGACCCUGGGCAAGUCACUUAAUCCCAAUUACCCUGUCCUUACUGAUCUCCUGCCUUGAAACUGUUACUUAAUAUCUAUUCUAAGACAAGAUAAGUGUUUUUUUUUUUAAGCUGACUUGACUCUCUCCACUGUCCCUCCUGGGAUCUUAAUGUCUCUUAGGAAUUUUCUCUCUUGAGUUCAAGUCUCAUAUAUUUAUCUUCAAGUCCUACAAAUGUGCUUGAGAGAGCUGUUAGAGCCAGAAUAAUUCCCCUCUCCACUUAUUUCCAAAGGAACACAAAGAGAGAGAACCGGCAAACUGAGGAGUAAGAAAAAGAAGAGACCAUCUUCUACCAAGAUUAGGGCAGGAGAUAUCUACAAGAUCCUCACUUGAGUGGUUGAAACAACAGGAGAAGAUUUUUCAGAGGGACCUAAAGAGCCCUGUCUCAGGCCAAUAUAGUGGUACAAGCUCAGAAAUGGAAUGAAAUGAGAUGCUCAUAAACCAUAGCCUUUACCAAAAGGAAAUUUACCCAACAAUAGCAUGGAAAGGAUAACUGGGAUGUCUGUGAAGCCUAAGCAGCCUUGACUACUUCCCUGCUGGAUUUUUAUGCUCUAGGCUACAGUGGAGGUACAUUAGUGGUUUGAGCCUUAGCCUUCUAUUUAAAUGAUAUCUCAAGAAUUGUUUCACUGUCUAUUUGGGAGGGACCCUCCAGGCUUUUUACUCCAACCCUAGUGAAUUCCCAGCUUUUCGACAAGGUCCUAACAGCAUGAGACAUAACCAGAUUACUAGUAAAUGUUGCUCCUACCACAGUCUCUCUGUCCCAUUCUGAACUUGUUUGUCUAUUAUAUAAUGAUUUAGUUUUUUGCUAUUAUUGUUGUUUACAUAGUCAUAAGGUAUAAUAAGAAGCCCUAUAAAUUUUUCCCAUAAUCAACUUCCAUAUUCUUCCAUGUUUGAGAUAAGACAGC
rnacentral:lncRNA from 1 species